AUAUUAUAGAAUGUUAUGGUAAAGUGUAGUAUUUGUUUUUAUCAGUUUAAUUCUGAUAUGUGGGUUAUCGACCCCACUUGAUAUUAAUUUUAUUGUUUUUUGGGGGAACAUCCAUUAUCUUAGUUUAGUGAUGUGGUUCUUCAUGUAUUGUCUUGAGCUUCCACUACUGUUGCUAUAUAUUAUGCACCGCUC